UAUAAAGUGUUAAAUAAUGUAAAGUAUGUUAUUAUAUGUUUACCGAGCAGUAAUUCUUAUACUUUACUGUGUUAGAGGGGAGAGCAACGAAAUGUGAGAUCGAGUGUUAAUGACCAUGUGAGCUUUUGCUGUGUGCUUCGUGGAAUCAGUCGGAGAGAGCACAUAUAGGCCACUGCCGUUGUUUUGUACGCCGUUGUUUUGUACGCCGUUUUUCCGUUUUUGUAACCUUGUUUGCACCGGGUAAAAUUGAAGGGCCUGUAAUCCUGUGAAACCUCGUCAGGAAAGUUAAGACCACUGACGUUAAUUAGUUGGUUGUCUCUGUAAAUUUAUUUAUUUUUAUUUUCUUUACUUUGUCUUACCCUGAAUUAGACCUUAAUGCUGAGUUUCCUUUUAAGCUCAGUCAAGAAUAAAAGAACCCUUAUUUGUUAGA